rnacentral:rRNA from 1 species
GACGAACGCUGGCGGCGUGCUUAACACAUGCAAGUCACGGGGGCUGGUGCAAACCAGUAACCGGCGAACGGGUGCGUAACACGUGAGCGACCUGCCUUAUUGAGGGGGAUAGCCGGCCCAACGGCCGGGUAAUACCGCAUACGCUUGUUUGGGGGCAUCCCUGGACAAGGAAACCUCCGGGGCGAUAAGAGGGGCUCGCGGCCUAUCAGCUAGUUGGUGAGGUAACGGCUCACCAAGGCGAUGACGGGAGCUGGUCUGAGAGGAUGGCCAGCCACAUUGGGACUGAGAGACGGCCCAGACUCCUACGGGAGGCAGCAGUGGGGAAGUCUUGGACAAUGGGCGCAAGCCUGAUCCAGCCAUGCCGCGUGAGUGAUGAAGGCCUUAGGGUUAGUAAAACUCUUUCGCCGAGGACGAUAAUGACGGUACUCGGAGAAGAAGCUCCGGCUAACUUCGUGCCAGCCGCCGCCGUAAU